rnacentral:rRNA from 1 species
UACGUAGGGGGCAAGCGUUGUCCGGAUUUAUUGGGCGUAAAGAGCGUGUAGGCGGCCAAACAGGUCAGCUGUGAAAACCCGGGGGCUCAACCCCGGGCCUGCAGCCGAUACGGGCAGACUAGAGUUCGGCAGGGGAGACUGGAAUUCCUGGUGUAGCGGUGAAAUGCGCAGAUAUCAGGAGGAACACCAAUGGCGAAGGCAGAUCUCUGGGCCGUAACUGACGCUGGAGGAGCGAAAGCAUGGGGAGCGAACAGG